GCAGUAAUAAGACCAACAUCCAUCUGUAUGCGACCAAUCCAAUAUACUCCAUAGAAUCCAAGAUAUUGCAAAUAAUCCAUCACUCUAAGUGGGAUAUGCUCUAUCCUCCAAAAGUCAGCAUCGGAUUGUCGUAGUCUAAGAAAUCUGAGCUCUCACAAUAGGAUAUAAUAAUUAGAUGAUGUACAUAAUUUUAAAAAAAUAUUAAUAAUAAGAGUAGGAUUGGAAUGCUUACGUCGUCAUCUAAAAUAGUCUGUGACUGAUGAUGCUCCUGUAAUAUAAGAAUACUCGUGUCUCGAGUGCUUGGAUACCGC
rnacentral:lncRNA from 1 species